AUUGAACGCUGGCGGCAGGCCUAACACAUGCAAGUCGAGCGGAUGAAGGGAGCUUGCUCCUGGAUUCAGCGGCGGACGGGUGAGUAAUGCCUAGGAAUCUGCCUGGUAGUGGGGGAUAACGUCCGGAAACGGGCGCUAAUACCGCAUACGUCCUGAGGGAGAAAGUGGGGAUCUUCGGACCUCACGCUAUCAGAUGAGCCUAGGUCGGAUUAGCUAGUUGGUGGGGUAAAGGCCUACCAAGGCGACGAUCCGUAACUGGUCUGAGAGGAUGAUCAGUCACACUGGAACUGAGACACGGUCCAGACUCCUACGGGAGGCAGCAGUGGGGAAUAUUGGACAAUGGGCGAAAGCCUGAUCCAGCCAUGCCGCGUGUGUGAAGAAGGUCUUCGGAUUGUAAAGCACUUUAAGUUGGGGGGAAGGGCAGUAAGUUAAUACCUUGCUGUUUUGACGUUACCAACAGAAUAAGCACCGGCUAACUUCGUG
rnacentral:rRNA from 1 species